rnacentral:rRNA from 1 species
UACGUAGGGUGCAAGCGUUGUCCGGAAUUAUUGGGCGUAAAGAGCUCGUAGGCGGUUUGUCGCGUCUGCCGUGAAAGUCCGGGGCUCAACUCCGGAUCUGCGGUGGGUACGGGCAGACUAGAGUGAUGUAGGGGAGACUGGAAUUCCUGGUGUAGCGGUGAAAUGCGCAGAUAUCAGGAGGAACACCGAUGGCGAAGGCAGGUCUCUGGGCAAUAACUGACGCUGAGGAGCGAAAGCAUGGGGAGCGAACAGG